UCUGAGUAUAGAGAGGCAGCUGGGAUCACUCAUUCUGGCCACAGAUAUCAGCCGACAGAAUGAGUACCUGUCCCGGUUCAGGACACAUCUGGAUGAGAACGACUUGUGUUUAGGACACGCUUCUCAUCGACAUUUCGUUCUGCAGAUGGCUCUGAAGUGUGCAGAUAUCUGUAACCCGUGUAGACCGUGGGAACUCAGCAAACAGUGGAGUGAGAAGGUCACAGAGGAGUUCUUCCACCAAGGUGACAUUGAAAAGAAGCAUAAACUUGAAAUCAGUCCACUGUGUGAUAGUGAAGCCAACACCAUAGCCAGUGUUCAAAUCGGU